rnacentral:tRNA from 3 species
GGGGUGUAGCUCAGCUGGGAGAGCACCUGCCUUGCAAGCAGGGGGUCAGCGGUUCGAUUCCGCUCAUCUCC